UACGGAGGGGGCUAGCGUUGUUCGGAAUUACUGGGCGUAAAGCGCGCGUAGGCGGACCUGCAAGUCGGGGGUGAAAGCCCGAGGCUCAACCUCGGAACUGCCUUCGAUACUGCGGGUCUCGAGUCCGGGAGAGGUGAGUGGAAUUCCUAGUGUAGAGGUGAAAUUCGUAGAUAUCGGGAGGAACACCAGUGGCGAAGGGCGGCUUUCU
rnacentral:rRNA from 1 species